rnacentral:piRNA from 1 species
GUCUUGAGUGAAGAUUAACACACA